CGGAAGAUCAUGAAGACCAUCUACAACAGCCUGCCGUCCAUCACAGACAGGGCAGCUCGCAAGAGCCUGGGCAGGGCCCUGCUCGUGCUGGCCAGCAAAUUCCCCAAGCAUACGGUCAGCAGCCUGCUGGUCUGCUCCCCCACCUGCACCAGGGCCGCUGUCACCAUGUGGAAGGAAAUGCUCUCAAAGCCCCCGGCCAUGGAGAAGGUGCUGCAGGAGCUGCUCCAAGUGCUGAUAAACCAUUCUGAGCACCACGCGUCACCAUUCAUCAAGGACAGGCCACGUGUCCUUGCCCUGGCUGUGAGUUCCUCGCUCACCCAGCU